rnacentral:rRNA from 1 species
GCGGGACUGCGGCUUAUUUGACUCAACACGGGGGAAACUCACCAGGUCCAGACAAAAUAAGGAUUGACAGAUUGAGAGCUCUUUCUUGAUCUUUUGGAUGGUGGUGCAUGGCCGUUCUUAGUUGGUGGAGUGAUUUGUCUGCUUAAUUGCGAUAACGAACGAGACCUCGGCCCUUAAAUAGCCCGGUCCGCAUUUGCGGGCCGCUGGCUUCUUAGGGGGACUAUCGGCUCAAGCCGAUGGAAGUGCGAGG